CUAAAUAGUUCUGUAACAAAACAAUUCGCCAGAGAACUACUAGCAACAGCUUAAAACUCAAAGGACUUGGCGGUGCUUUAUAUCCCUCUAGAGGAGCCUGUUCUAUAAUCGAUAAACCCCGAUAAACCUCACCAUCCCUUGCUAAUACAGUCUAUAUACCGCCAUCUUCAGCAAACAAAAAU
rnacentral:rRNA from 1 species